CGGUGUCCAUCUGGAACUCAUCAUGCCGCAGAAGCACUCUGGCUGCUGUGCGUCUCUGGCUUUCUACCGGCGCUCCGUAGAAGCUUCCACAUUUUACCUUUAGCAUCCACGCUACUACUGAUGCUGUCAGCAGAAUUAACAUCCACAGUCCCACACCUUCAGGGUUCAACCAAGGCAAACAGGUCCUGGGUGCGGAACCAGACGAAGUGCGGCUCAUUAGACCCCUGAUGAAGAGAAACAUGAUGGAUCCAUGAUUUCACUCGCACAGACGCGGGUCACCGGGGGCCCCCCUGGAGCCAGGCCAGGGCUCGAUGGUAACCUGUGUACGUCCCUCCUCAGCUACGUCCAGAGAACCGAAAAAAAAUCUACAAUUUCAGUUUGAACGCCUGGAUCUGCCAUGCAUUAAAGACGCAUUUUAAUGAGGACUGCGGAAGUUGUAACAUUACUCUACAGUGAAAUUUUGAGUUAUGAGAAGAUUCUAUGGGAAUAUAGAACAUAUGAGUUUCUAGUGAAUGCGGCACCAGCAGAAGAAAUGUAGCGGAAAAGGGAUUAGAGAUGAGAAGUCAUGCAGAAGGAAACGCAUCCAGACAAAGAAACCGACGUGGUUCCCCCGUCCCCAUAUAGACAAUUGCCCGUAAGAUGUAAAAAUUACCAGGUUUUUGUGAUGAGAAAAAUGAGAAUACGAUCAAUUAUUUAAAAACUUUUCCCACCUUUAACGUUACCUAAAAUCUGUACAAUUCGAUGGAAAAGCAAACAAAUCUGUUGAGAAAAUAUAAAAAAUUAAAAACGUACAAUAAGCUGGUUGCACAAG